rnacentral:lncRNA from 1 species
UUAUCAUUAGGUCUUUCAACCUUUCAGGUGAAAGACCUAUAGGGUUUGUUCUGAUUAUUAUUAUUAUUAGGUCUUUCAACCUUUCAGGUGAAAGACCUAUAGGGUUUGUUCUGAUUAUUAUUAUUAUUAUUAUUAGGUCUUUCAACCUUUCAGGUGAAAGACCUAUAGGGUUUGUUCUGAUUAUUAUUUAUUAUUAGGUCUUUC